UAAGGAGGUAUUUAAAUGUGACAUGUCUACGACCUUUAUACACAUACGGCUAUACAUGGUCCCGGAAACAUUCAACAGCAUAAAGAAACAUGAAGUUUAUGAUUUUCCUCGUGUUUGCCUCUCUCCUGGUCGCCGAACAGGCAGCCCAGACCACCUGCGGCAAGGGGUGUGUAGCCUCAGGCUCUAACUCCCACUCUUUCUGCGAAAACCUCUGCUCCAGCUGUAAUGGCCACGUCCAUUGUCUCCACAAUGUGGACGAAUGCGUGUGCCACACUGAUCAUACUCACCAGCCCUGAGCUUUUCCACCCGGAUAUGCACACUGCGGGAUCUGACGCUGUGAUAAUGCGAAUAAAGUUGUGAAUUACA